AGGCGGAGGGAGGAAGUCGGAAAACAGAUUUAAACGGAGUUUGAAACCUUGCUUCUGUUUGCCAGUACUAUGAGAAAAUGUCGUUAUCAAAGAGGUCUGGAUGCUAAAACAAACUCUGGACCCGCUUUUCUGUCGAACACGAGUGAGACUGGAUGCUGAACACACCUGCGGCGUGAAGGUUUACUUGUUCAGCUGCUGCAGCCUGGACAGAAACACCAGCUCUCACCUCACAAACCAAACAGGUGUCACCACUUGGUCCUCGAUUGCAGAGUCCUCAUACAACAAAGCAGUUCCUUGAGACAGAGAGGCCUCUAGGUGAAUUCAAAGAAACAACUGGAUUCACUAAAGGUGAAGGAGGAGGAGCAGAAGGCAACGGCAGCUGACGUUCUGGACCUGAAGUGAACAAAAGAAAACAAGAGUUAUGCCGUUAAUUAGAUAGAAGACCUCCAGCAUCUUGCUGCAAAACCCUUUCCUGUAGCCAGCGUUUCUCCUGUUGUUCUAGUGGAGACAUUUAUCACAUUCAGCCACAGACUCAUCCCACCACGUUGCACCACAGAGCGCCACAGGAAAUCAUUCCUGCCGGUGGCCAUCAACCUAUUCAACUCUUCUCUCUGAGAAUCAAUCUGUCAAUUGAUUGAUCCCUGGACACUUUUCUUCACCCAUGUGUAAUAACCAGUUAACUAUGCAGUACAAAUGUAAAUAGCACAUCAACACUAAAUAUGUACAUAUUUUGUUACGGAUAUAUUUUUUAUUGUAUAUGUGAAUUGGAGCACUGCCACUCAAUGAUUUCCCUCAAGGGAUAAAUAAAGUAUUUCUGACCUGAUUCAGACUUUAGCACCCACUUGUCUAAUAUCAACACAUAAUGUAGCUAUGAGCACAUCUUCCAACCAACACAUUUCUAUUAAACAUCGUUAAGAACAUUUAACUGCUUACGAUACAAUUAUCUUUUGUAAUUAUAUCAUAAGAAGUUAAAUGUUCUUAAAGAUGUUUAAUACAGACAUGUAAAACAAAGUGUCUCUUAGUGGUUAAAUAUCUGGAACAAAAUCACUAAAACUUUCUUAGUGUCUCCAGUUUCACACUAAUAAAAUAAAAGUUGUUUUAUUUAGCAAAAAUGCCAAAUAUCUAUUUGCAGCUGCUAAAUUUUAUAUGCAUCAUGUAAAGGUCUUAUUUUUGCAAUCAUAAAAAAAUGCUAAUUAAAACUGAUUAAGCACCUUCACUGUAGUGAUGUUUGUCCCACACAAGCAGUUUGAAUCAAACUAACGCCGAUCUGCA